rnacentral:rRNA from 1 species
GGCGGACGGGUGAGGAAUACAUCGGAAUCUACUCUGUCGUGGGGGAUAACGUAGGGAAACUUACGCUAAUACCGCAUACGACCUACGGGUGAAAGCAGGGGAUCUUCGGACCUUGCGCGAUUGAAUGAGCCGAUGUCGGAUUAGCUAGUUGGCGGGGUAAAGGCCCACCAAGGCACGAUCCGUAGCUGGUCUGAGAGGAUGAUCAGCCACACUGGAACUGAGACACGGUCCAGACUCCUACGGGAGGCAGCAGUA